AUGCCAAAGGAUGAUGGGUAAAAUUGGCCGGUAUAUCCAAUAAAAACCAUUCGCAUAUCAAAUGAUAGCUUAUACCCUAAGCUUCAUUUUUUAUUAUGGGCAAAACAUUGUAGGCCACCGGAGAACGAAGAUAUGACACUUGAUAGCAUAGGGCAGCCCAUGGACUUAAACCACUUCAUUGAGUAUGGGAGGGAUGUUUAAGUGCAUUAUUAUUGUCAAUAAUUGUCAGAACGAGUCACAGAAGGUAUCUGUGCCCAUAUUUUCCAAUUUUAUUGAAAAAAAAAGAUUAUUUAGCAGGUAGUAUUUACAACGUAUGGUGUACGUAUUUCGCCGUUCUGGUGAGUCUAACCGGCAUAACCAAUGAAAACCGUUUGUAUAUCAAAUGAUAGCUUAUAUCCUAAGCUUCAUUUUUUAUUAUGGGCAAAACAUUGUAAACCACCGGAGAACGAAGAUAUGACACUUGAUAGCGUAGGACAGCUAUGGAUUUGAACCACUACAUUUAGUUUGGUUGCAGUGCAUCAUAUUAUUGUCAAUAUCAGUCAGGACGUGUCACAGAAGGUGCAUGUAUCCAUAUAAAAAAAAUAACAGUUAGUAUUCACAACGUAAGGUGUACGUAUUCCGCCGUUCCUUCAAUUCAUUCACUUCAAUUUUUGUUAUGGGUGGAACAUUUUUAAUCACAGGGGAAAAAAGAUAUCACUCCUGUAAGCCUUCGACUGCCUAUGGAAUUACACCACUUUGGCACGUAUGUUAUAUAAAAAAAACCUAUCUUCUUAUUAUAAAUAACGUAAGCAGCUUUUCCACCGCUGAAAGAUUUUUCAAAUCAGUUCAGUUAAGCAAGUAUGCCCAAUUGCACAGACAUCAUCUAAUGGCCAGGAUAAUACAUCUUGCUUUGAAAUACAAUCCUGUGGAAUUGGAGGUGUGCUGGCAUCACUUUAUCAUCACCAAUGACUGUCAACUGUCCUGGCUAACAAGCCUGAUGUGCCAUAUGAUGAGAACUCUGUGAAAGCUAACAAACAAAUAACUUUAUUCUACUGAGUGAACCCCUCAUGUAUUCUUGAGGUCCUGACCACCCGUUUGGUUAUCUACUAUUUGUGUAUCACGAAAUAGUAUAAAACAAAGUCGCUUUUUCAGUCAUUAUAUCCCUAUGUCCCUUUGAAAGCUUAACUCUUCCAAACUACGCAACGGAUUUUGAUACGGUUUUUUAUACCUGGGGGCACAGCAGUGCCCCAGUCAAGUCUGAGCCAAGCGGGCACGGCCGUACCAUCCUUUUCUCGAAGCGUUUCGCGGCUAUUUCGCCCCAUUUGUAUCAUCCAUGUGGACAAAGCUAGGAGUUUAGGUUAGGUUAGGUAUAAUAUAUU
rnacentral:lncRNA from 1 species